rnacentral:rRNA from 1 species
UGCAAGUCGAGCGAACAGAUGAGAAGCUUGCUUCUCUGAUGUUAGCGGCGGACGGGUGAGUAACACGUGGGUAACCUACCUAUAAGACUGGGAUAACUCCGGGAAACCGGGGCUAAUACCGGAUAAUAUUUUGAACCGCAUGGUUCAAUAGUGAAAGACGGUUUCGGCUGUCACUUAUAGAUGGACCCGCGCCGUAUUAGCUAGUUGGUAAGGUAAUGGCUUACCAAGGCGACGAUACGUAGCCGACCUGAGAGGGUGAUCGGCCACACUGGAACUGAGACACGGUCCAGACUCCUACGGGAGGCAGCAGUAGGGAAUCUUCCGCAAUGGGCGAAAGCCUGACGGAGCAACGCCGCGUGAGUGAUGAAGGUCUUCGGAUCGUAAAACUCUGUUGUUAGGGAAGAACAAAUUUGUUAGUAACUGAACAAGUCUUGACGGUACCUAACCAGAAAGCCACGGCUAACUACGUGCCAGCAGCCGCGGUAAUACGUAGGUGGCAAGCGUUAUCCGGAAUUAUUGGGCGUAAAGCGCGCGUAGGCGGUUUCUUAAGUCUGAUGUGAAAGCCCACGGCUCAACCGUGGAGGGUCAUUGGAAACUGGGAAACUUGAGUGCAGAAGAGGAGAGUGGAAUUCCAUGUGUAGCGGUGAAAUGCGCAGAGAUAUGGAGGAACACCAGUGGCGAAGGCGGCUCUCUGGUCUGUAACUGACGCUGAUGUGCGAAAGCGUGGGGAUCAAACAGGAUUAGAUACCCUGGUAGUCCACGCCGUAAACGAUGAGUGCUAAGUGUUAGGGGGUUUCCGCCCCUUAGUGCUGCAGCUAACGCAUUAAGCACUCCGCCUGGGGAGUACGACCGCAAGGUUGAAACUCAAAGGAAUUGACGGGGACCCGCACAAGCGGUGGAGCAUGUGGUUUAAUUCGAAGCAACGCGAAGAACCUUACCAAAUCUUGACAUCCUUUGACCGCUCUAGAGAUAGAGUCUUCCCCUUCGGGGGACAAAGUGACAGGUGGUGCAUGGUUGUCGUCAGCUCGUGUCGUGAGAUGUUGGGUUAAGUCCCGCAACGAGCGCAACCCUUAAGCUUAGUUGCCAUCAUUAAGUUGGGCACUCUAGGUUGACUGCCGGUGACAAACCGGAGGAAGGUGGGGAUGACGUCAAAUCAUCAUGCCCCUUAUGAUUUGGGCUACACACGUGCUACAAUGGAUAAUACAAAGGGCAGCGAAUCCGCGAGGCCAAGCAAAUCCCAUAAAAUUAUUCUCAGUUCGGAUUGUAGUCUGCAACUCGACUACAUGAAGCUGGAAUCGCUAGUAAUCGUAGAUCAGCAUGCUACGGUGAAUACGUUCCCGGGUCUUGUACACACCGCCCGUCACACCACGAGAGUUUGUAACACCCGAAGCCGGUGGAGUAACCUUUUAGGAGCUAGCCGUC